rnacentral:misc_RNA from 1 species
AACAUCGCGCACCUGCGGGAACCUGCGGAGGGAUCAUUACAGAGUUGCAAAACUCCCUAAACCAUUGUGAACGUUACCUAAACCGUUGCUUCGGCGGGCGGCCCGGGUCCUUCCCGGCGCCCAUCGGCCCUCGCGGGCGCCCGCCGGAGGUAAACCAAACUAUUGCAUUGUAUGGCCUCUCUGAGUCUUCUGUACUGAAUAAGCCAAAACUUUUAACAAUGGAUCUCAGAUCGGAAGAGC